rnacentral:rRNA from 1 species
GCAGUCGACGGUGACGGAGGGCUUGCCCUUCUGAUCAGUGGCGAACGGGUGAGUAACACGUGAGUAACCUGCCCUUCACUCUGGGAUAACGCUGGGAAACCGGUGCUAAUACUGGAUACGACCUACUCGGGCACCCGAUGUGGGUGGAAAGAUUUAUUGGUGGAGGAUGGACUCGCGGCCUAUCAGCUUGUUGGUGAGGUAAUGGCUCACCAAGGCGACGACGGGUAGCCGGCCUGAGAGGGCGAUCGGCCACACUGGGACUGAGACACGGCCCAGACUCCUACGGGAGGCAGCAGUGGGGAAUAUUGCACAAUGGGCGAAAGCCUGAUGCAGCGACGCCGCGUGAGGGAUGAAGGCCUUCGGGUUGUAAACCUCUUUCAGCAGGGAAGAAGCAGCCGGGUUUUCUUGGUUGUGACGGUACCUGCAGAAGAAGCACCGGCUAACUACGUGCCAGCAGCCGCGGUAAUACGUAGGGUGCAAGCGUUGUCCGGAAUUAUUGGGCGUAAAGAGCUUGUAGGCGGUUUGUCGCGUCUGCUGUGAAAUUUCGGGGCUCAACCCCGAACUUGCAGUGGGUACGGGCAGACUAGAGUGUGGUAGGGGAGACUGGAAUUCCUGGUGUAGCGGUGAAAUGCGCAGAUAUCAGGAGGAACACCGAUGGCGAAGGCAGGUCUCUGGGCCACUACUGACGCUGAGAAGCGAAAGCAUGGGGAGCGAACAGGAUUAGAUACCCUGGUAGAAUCACUAGUGAAUUC